GGCAGAUCUGCAUAAAGAAAACCCCUACAAUGGAUGCGUAGCGCAACGGUACAGCUGUUUUAUGACAUUCAACAGGCACCCUGUUUCCUGGAUAUCCAACGUAUGUCGAACUUCAUAAUGCUCUUAAACGAAGUUGUGAUUACCCAACAAUAUUCCGUAACAGCUACAAGUGCUUAGCACCUUCGACUGUCGCUCAAUGUACCCGUUACCCUCGCUUUAGUGAUGAAUGCAACCAGCAAAUAAGCUGUACUCGUAGCGAACCCUCGAAUUACCUGGUCAGGCCUUGAGCUGAACUGUUUCCCGCUGUGUCCGGCGUGCUACAUUAUCCUGUUACACGGCCUAUUCAGUACAAGCGGCCAUUUGCUACUAUCGCCGUUACUGCUACUGCAGAGGCUGGCGGACAAGGCCAAAGCUGUGCCCAUUGGCGGCCGCUCAGCACAACGGCAUCACUGACGUAACACUGAGUGACUGAAUUGCUAAUCAUAAUUUCAGCCACGAGAGUAUCGUUUAGGAUGAAUAACAGACCGAUAAUGGAAGAUCCAUUGUUCAUCAACAGUUGGCUACUCGGACCGCGCAUGCAGUCUUCACUUGGAUCCUUUAUUAAUGCGUUCCUUCUGAACGCAUUCAAUAAAUCAACACUAAAAUUGUGCCCGAUAUAUUACGUAACGAAUUAGUUAGAAGCUACGUCGUCAUUGUAUGGCAGCAAGCAGAUGUC